rnacentral:rRNA from 1 species
UGCAGUCGAACGAGUUCUCGUUGAUGAUCGGUGCUUGCACCGAGAUUCAACAUGGAACGAGUGGCGGACGGGUGAGUAACACGUGGGUAACCUGCCCUUAAGUGGGGGAUAACAUUUGGAAACAGAUGCUAAUACCGCAUAGAUCCAAGAACCGCAUGGUUCUUGGCUGAAAGAUGGCGUAAGCUAUCGCUUUUGGAUGGACCCGCGGCGUAUUAGCUAGUUGGUGAGGUAAUGGCUCACCAAGGCGAUGAUACGUAGCCGAACUGAGAGGUUGAUCGGCCACAUUGGGACUGAGACACGGCCCAAAYUCCUACGGGAGGCAGCAGUAGGGAAUCUUCCMCAAUGGACGCAAGUCUGAUGGAGCAACGCCGCGUGAGUGAAGAAGGCUUUCGGGUCGUAAAACUCUGUUGUUGGAGAAGAAUGKUCGGCAGAGUAACUGUUGUCGGCGUGACGGUAUCCAACCAGAAAGCCACGGCUAACUACGUGCCAGCAGCCGCGGUAAUACGUAGGUGGCAAGCGUUAUCCGGAUUUAUUGGGCGUAAAGCGAGCGCAGGCGGUUUUUUAAGUCUGAUGUGAAAGCCCUCGGCUUAACCGAGGAAGCGCAUCGGAAACUGGGAAACUUGAGUGCAGAAGAGGACAGUGGAACUCCAUGUGUAGCGGUGAAAUGCGUAGAUAUAUGGAAGAACACCAGUGGCGAAGGCGGCUGUCUGGUCUGUAACUGACGCUGAGGCUCGAAAGCAUGGGUAGCGAACAGGAUUAGAUACCCUGGUAGUCCAUGCCGUAAACGAUGAAUGCUAGGUGUUGGAGGGUUUCCGCCCUUCAGUGCCGCAGCUAACGCAUUAAGCAUUCCGCCUGGGGAGUACGACCGCAAGGUUGAAACUCAAAGGAAUUGACGGGGGCCCGCACAAGCGGUGGAGCAUGUGGUUUAAUUCGAAGCAACGCGAAGAACCUUACCAGGUCUUGACAUCUUUUGAUCACCUGAGAGAUCAGGUUUCCCCUUCGGGGGCAAAAUGACAGGUGGUGCAUGGUUGUCGUCAGCUCGUGUCGUGAGAUGUUGGGUUAAGUCCCGCAACGAGCGCAACCCUUAUGACUAGUUGCCAGCAUUUAGUUGGGCACUCUAGUAAGACUGCCGGUGACAAACCGGAGGAAGGUGGGGAUGACGUCAAAUCAUCAUGCCCCUUAUGACCUGGGCUACACACGUGCUACAAUGGAUGGUACAACGAGUUGCGAGACCGCGAGGUCAAGCUAAUCUCUUAAAGCCAUUCUCAGUUCGGACUGUAGGCUGCAACUCGCCUACACGAAGUCGGAAUCGCUAGUAAUCGCGGAUCAGCACGCCGCGGUGAAUACGUUCCCGGGCCUUGUACACACCGCCCGUCACACCAUGAGAGUUUGUAACACCCGAAGCCGGUGGCGUAACCCUUUUAGGGAGCGAGCCGUCUAAGGUGGACA